rnacentral:rRNA from 1 species
UAAUUCCCGUUGAUCCUGCGGGAGAUUGCUGCUAUGGGAGUUCGACUAAGCCAUGCAAGUCAGAGGGCCUUUAUGGCACAGGCUGAAUGCUCAGUAACACGUCAAUAAUUUGCCCUUAGGUUUGGGACAGCCACGGGAAACUGUGGGUAAACCCGAAUAGGUAAUUGAUACUGGAAUGUACUUUUACUCAAAGUUUACGCCUAAGGAUGAGUUGGCGGCUGAUUAGUUUGUUGGUAGUGUAAAGGACUACCAAGACUAUGAUCAGUACGGGCCGUGAGAGCGGUAGCCCGGAGAAGGGUACUGAGACACUGACCCUAGCCCUACGGGGUGCAGCAGGCGCGAAACCUUUACAAUGUACGUAAGUGCGAUAAGGGAACUCCCAGUGCUUAUGCAUAGCAUAGGCUUUUGCCAAGUGUAAAUAACUUGGCGAAUAAGUGGUGGGUAAGACGGGUGCCAGCCGCCGCGGUAACACCUGCGCCACGAGUGGCGAUCAGUUUUAUUGGGCCUAAAGCGUUCGUAGCCGGAUUAGUUAGUCUUGGGUGAAAUCGUUGCGCUUAACAAAACGACGUGCUUGAGAUACUGCUAGUCUAGAGACCGGGAGGCGUGAAGAGUAUUCCUGAGGGAGCGGUAAAAUGCUAUAAUCUCAGGAGGACUACCUGUGGCGAAGGCGCUUCACGAGAACGGGUCUGACGGUGAGGAACGAAAGCUAGGGGAGCAAACCGGAUUAGAUACCCGAGUAGUCCUAGCCGUAAACGCUGUGUACUAGAUGUUGCGUAUUCUUCGUGGAUACGCAGUGUCGGAGCGAAGGCAUUAAGUACACCGCCUGGGAAGUACGGUCGCAAGGCU